rnacentral:rRNA from 1 species
CUUUGAUCCUGGCUCAGGAUGAACGCUAGCUACAGGCUUAACACAUGCAAGUCGAGGGGCAGCAUGAACUUAGCUUGCUAAGUUUGAUGGCGACCGGCGCACGGGUGAGUAACACGUAUCCAACCUUCCGUUUACUCAGGGAUAGCCUUUCGAAAGAAAGAUUAAUACCUGAUAGUAUGGUGAGAUUGCAUGAUAACACCAUUAAAGAUUUAUUGGUAAACGAUGGGGAUGCGUUCCAUUAGGUAGUAGGCGGGGUAACGGCCCACCUAGCCUGCGAUGGAUAGGGGUUCUGAGAGGAAGAUCCCCCACAUUGGAACUGAGACACGGUCCAAACUCCUACGGGAGGCAGCAGUGAGGAAUAUUGGUCAAUGGGCGAGAGCCUGAACCAGCCAAGUAGCGUGAAGGAUGAAGGUCCUAUGGAUUGUAAACUUCUUUUAUACGGGAAUAAAGUAUCCUACGUGUAGGACUUUGUAUGUACCGUAUGAAUAAGCAUCGGCUAACUCCGUGCCAGCAGCCGCGGUAAUACGGAGGAUGCGAGCGUUAUCCGGAUUUAUUGGGUUUAAAGGGAGCGCAGACGGGAGAUUAAGUCAGUUGUGAAAGUUUGCGGCUCAACCGUAAAAUUGCAGUUGAUACUGGUUUCCUUGAGUGCAGUUGAGGCAGGCGGAAUUCGUGGUGUAGCGGUGAAAUGCUUAGAUAUCACGAAGAACCCCGAUUGCGAAGGCGGCUUGCUAAACUGUAACUGACGUUCAUGCUCGAAAGUGUGGGUAUCAAACAGGAUUAGAUACCCUGGUAGUCCACACGGUAAACGAUGGAUACUCGCUGUUGGCGAUAUACUGUCAGCGGCCAAGCGAGAGCAUUAAGUAUCCCACCUGGGGAGUACGCCGGCAACGGUGCAAGUCAAAUGAAUUGACGGA